UACGUAGGGGGCUAGCGUUGUCCGGAAUCAUUGGGCGUAAAGCGCGUGUAGGCGGCCCGGUAAGUCCGCUGUGAAAGUCGGGGGCUCAACCCUCGAAUGCCGGUGGAUACUGUCGGGCUAGAGUGCGGAAGAGGCGAGUGGAAUUCCUGGUGUAGCGGUGAAAUGCGCAGAUAUCAGGAGGAACACCGAUUGCGAAGGCAGCUCGCUGGGACGUCACUGACGCUGAGACGCGAAAGCGUGGGGAGCAAACAGG
rnacentral:rRNA from 1 species